rnacentral:snRNA from 1 species
AUCCUUUCUUGGCCUUUUAGCUAAAAUCAAGCAUAGUACCCAUUCUUGUCAGUUUUAUGCCACACAUAUCUUCAGUAUGAGGACAUGAUGUUAAAUGAGUGUGGGAAGUGGGAGGUGGAUGUGGAGCUUGCUCUAUGCCUGGACCAACAAUGCGGGGCCCCAG